rnacentral:lncRNA from 1 species
UUAGGGCUCCAACACAUGAGUUGAAUUUUUAGACACAUGGCCUCCAUUUCCUAGUCACCUUUCUCACCAACAUUAGGGAUCUAAUCCUUGAGUUGAGUUUUUAGACAUAGGUCCUCCAUUCCCUAAUCGCUUUUUCGCCAACAUUAGGGCUCCAAUCCUUGAGUUGACAUUUUAGGUAUAGGGCUCCAUCCCCUGAUCUUUUUCCUUCUAGAUAGACC